CUACGGGUCGCAGCAGUUAGGGAUAUUCGGAAUGGGGGAAACCCUGACCGAGCAAUGCCGCGUGAAUGAAGAAGUAUUUCGAUAUGUAAAGUUCUGUUGUUAAGGAAGAAAGGUACGAAUAGGAAAUGAUUCGUAAUUGACGGUACUUAACCAGAAAGCCCCUGCUAACUACGUGCCAGCAGCAGCGGUAAUACGUAGGGGGCGAGCGUUAUCCGGAAUUAUUGGGCGUAAAGGGUGCGUAGGCGGCCUGUCAAGUCCGAGUUGAAAGCCCACGGCUUAACCGUGGAGGGUGCUCGGAAACUGAUAGGCUUGAAUCCAGAAGAGGCAAGUGGAAUUCUAUGUGGAGCGGUGGAAUGCGUAGAUAUAUGGAGGAACACCAGUGGCGAAGGCGGCUUGCUGGGCUGGUAUUGACGCUGAUGCACGAAAGCGUGGGGAGCAAACAGGAUUAGAUACCCCCGUAGUC
rnacentral:rRNA from 1 species